rnacentral:rRNA from 1 species
AGGACGAACGCUGGCGGCGUGCUUAACACAUGCAAGUGGAGCGACGAACCGGGGCUUGCCCCGGGGCAGAGCCGCGAACGGGUGAGUAGCACGUGAGCAACCUGCCCCGAAGACUGGGACAACACCGGGAAACCGGUGCUAAUACCGGAUAUCCCUAUCGGACCGCAUGAUCUGAUAAGGAAAUGUUUUUCGCUUCGGGAGGGGCUCGCGGCCUAUCAGCUAGUUGGUGAGGUAAUAGCUCACCAAGGCGUCGACGGGUAGCUGGUCUGAGAGGACGAUCAGCCACACUGGGACUGAGACACGGCCCAGACUCCUACGGGAGGCAGCAGUGGGGAAUCUUGCGCAAUGGGCGAAAGCCUGACGCAGCAACGCCGCGUGGAGGACGAAUGCUUUCUGAGUUGUAAACUCCUUUCAGCAGGGACGAUUGUGACGGUACCUGCAGAAGAAGCACCGGCCAACUACGUGCCAGCAGCCGC